UCCUAGACCUAUUUAAGAGCUGGCUACCAGGGGUGAAGGAUCUCUUCUGGAAAUCGCCUCUGUUGGUGUUUUGUGAGUGAGCCCAGGAUAGGGAGUCACGCUUGUCUCCAGAGUCAGAAAACAGCAUGGCUGAGAAAAGAGUAAGAAUCUUUCUGACUUGAAAGUCAUAAAUAACAAGAAAUUUCGUUUCCAAGGAAACUGCGGAUUUCAGUUUGAUAGAGGCUACACCAUAAAGAAGCUCAGUGCUCCUUUUGGGCUUGGCACCAAAGAACGAAGAUAAUUUCAAAAGAGUGUGCAAGAGCCUGGCUGUAUGGGAACUGUUGAUCACAGCCUGUACCUCUGAUUGACCACCUGAGGCAAACAAUGAGUCAGCUGUGGGAGCACAGGUGAAGGCAAUUCACUUGUGCUACUGGAAGGGGUGGAGCCUGGCUCCACCUGUCCUAGAUCCCAUUUAUGUGCUGACUGCCACUGAGGAAGGAUCUCUUUUUGGAGAUUGCUCCUUGUGGAGUUUACUGCAAGCCUACAACACUGAUAUCUACCAGCAACAUUUUCAUUUCAGAGCAGAAGAAAUUGAGGAGGAUCUUGGGCCUGGUCAGAAAUGCAGGCAAUAGGAGUGCUUUAACACCCCAGUGUAUGGGAACUGCUGAGUCACAACCUGAACCUCUGAUUGAUCACCUGAGACAAGCAAUGAGUCAGCCAGAGGAGCACAGGUGAAGGCAAUUUACCUGUGCUGCAGAAGGGGUGGAGCCUGGCUCCACCUCUCUUAGACCCAUUUAAGAGCUGACUACCACUGGGGAGGGAUCUCUUCUGGAGAUUUGCUCUGUUGGAGCUUCAUAUGUGAGCUUGGGAUACAGGCACUUCUCAUAUGAAAUUCAGGGAAGUAUAAUGAGCACUAUUUAUAAGGGCAGAAUUACAAGAUUAUUGCAAUAUAUGCAGUUUGAACUCUACAGCUUGAAGUUCCAUUUACUGGCUCAUGCCUUCAUCUGAAUCUUUCCAAGCUGCUUUCCCUGGAAGAAGAUACAAAUGCAAAAGUGAAAAAGAAUGUGAAUGCUUUCUUUUUUUUUUUUUUUU